ACUCCUACGGGAGGCAGCAGUAGGGAAUAUUGGUCAAUGGACGAAAGUCUGAACCAGCCAUGCCGCGUGAAGGAUGAAGGCCCUGUGGGUUGUAAACUUCUUUUAUCUGGUCCAUAAAAGGGGCGGCUAACUAUGUGCCAGCAGCCGCGGUAAUACAGAGGCCCCAAGCGUUACUGAGAAUCAUUGGGUUUAAAGGGUGGGUAGGUGGCGCGUUAAGUCCGUUGUGAAAUCCAUCGGCUCAACCAAGGAAGGGCUUCGGAUACAGGCGUGCAUUAGGCGAGUAGGGGUCAGUGGAACGGACGGUGCAGCGGUGAAAUGAGUAGAUAUAGUCAGGAACGCCGAUGGUGAAGACAGGCGACUGGGCUCGAUCUGACAGUCAGGCACGAAAGCGUGGGGAGCGAUCGGGAUUAGAUACCCCGCUAGUCCACGCCCUAAACGAUGCAGAGUUGAUUGCAGCGGGUUACACCCCGUUGCGGUCGGAGCGAAAUUGUUAAGUCUGCCACCUGGGAAGUACGGUCGCAAGGCUAAAACUUAAAGGAAUUGACG
rnacentral:rRNA from 1 species